CCUACGGGUUGCACCAGUGGGGAAAAUUGCACAAUGGGCGCAAGCCUGAUGCAGCCAUGCCGCGUGUAUGAAGAAGGCCUUCGGGUUGUAAAGUACUUUCAGCGAGGAGGAAGGCAUUAAGGUUAAUAACCUUAGUGAUUGACGUUACUCGCAGAAGAAGCACCGGCUAACUCCGUACCAGCAGCCGCGGUAACACGGAGGGUGCAAGCGUUAAUCGGAAUUACUGGGCGUAAAGCGCACGCAGGCGGUCUGUCAAGUCGGAUGUGAAAUCCCUGGGCUCAACCUGGGAACUGCAUCCGAAACUGGCAGGCUAGAGUCUUGUAGAGGGGGGUAGAAUUCCAGGUGUAGCGGUGAAAUGCGUAGAGAUCUGGAGGAAUACCGGUGGCGAAGGCGGCCCCCUGGACAAAGACUGACGCUCAGGUGCGAAAGCGUGGGGGGCAAACAGGAUUAGAUACCCGAGUAGUC
rnacentral:rRNA from 1 species